rnacentral:rRNA from 1 species
AUUGAACGCUGGCGGCAGGCCUAACACAUGCAAGUCGAGCGGAUGAAGGGAGCUUGCUCCUGGAUUCAGCGGCGGACGGGUGAGUAAUGCCUAGGAAUCUGCCUGGUAGUGGGGGAUAACGUCCGGAAACGGGCGCUAAUACCGCAUACGUCCUGAGGGAGAAAGUGGGGGAUCUUCGGACCUCACGCUAUCAGAUGAGCCUAGGUCGGAUUAGCUAGUUGGUGGGGUAAAGGCCUACCAAGGCGACGAUCCGUAACUGGUCUGAGAGGAUGAUCAGUCACACUGGAACUGAGACACGGUCCAGACUCCUACGGGAGGCAGCAGUGGGGAAUAUUGGACAAUGGGCGAAAGCCUGAUCCAGCCAUGCCGCGUGUGUGAAGAAGGUCUUCGGAUUGUAAAGCACUUUAAGUUGGGAGGAAGGGCAGUAAGCUAAUACCUUGCUAUUUUGACGUUACCAACAGAAUAAGCACCGGCUAACUUCGUG